CCACGGGGGGCUGCAGUGGGGAAUAUUGGACAAUGGGGGGAACCCUGAUCCAGCCAUGCCGCGUGUGUGAAGAAGGCCCUCGGGUUGUAAAGCACUUUCAGUGAGGAAGAACGCCUGGUGGUUAAUACCCAUCAGGAAAGACAUCACUCACAGAAGAAGCACCGGCUAACUCCGUGCCAGCAGCCGCGGUAAUACGGAGGGUGCGAGCGUUAAUCGGAAUUACUGGGCGUAAAGCGCGCGUAGGUGGCUUGAUAAGCCGGUUGUGAAAGCCCCGGGCUCAACCUGGGAACGGCAUCCGGAACUGUCAAGCUAGAGUGCAGGAGAGGAAGGUAGAAUUCCCGGUGUAGCGGUGAAAUGCGUAGAGAUCGGGAGGAAUACCAGUGGCGAAGGCGGCCUUCUGGACUGACACUGACACUGAGGUGCGAAAGCGUGGGUAGCAAACAGGAUUAGAUACCCUUGUAGUC
rnacentral:rRNA from 1 species